rnacentral:rRNA from 1 species
GAUACGCUGGCGGCGUGCCUAUAAUGCUAGUCCAGCGAAUGGAUUAAGAGCUUGCUCUUAUGAAGUUAGCGGCGGACGGGUGAGUAACACGUGGGUAACCUGCCCAUAAGACUGGGAUAACUCCGGGAAACCGGGGCUAAUACCGGAUAACAUUUUGAACCGCAUGGUUCGAAAUUGAAAGGCGGCUUCGGCUGUCACUUAUGGAUGGACCCGCGUCGCAUUAGCUAGUUGGUGAGGUAACGGCUCACCAAGGCAACGAUGCGUAGCCGACCUGAGAGGGUGAUCGGCCACACUGGGACUGAGACACGGCCCAGACUCCUACGGGAGGCAGCAGUAGGGAAUCUUCCGCAUUGGACGAAAGUCUGACGGAGCAACGCCGCGUGAUGAUGAAGGCUUUCGGGUCGUAAAACUCUGUUGUUAGGGAAGAACAAGUGCUAGUUGAAUAAGCUGGCACCUUGACGGUACCUAACCAGAAAGCCACGGCUAACUACGUGCCAGCAGCCGCGGUAAUACGUAGGUGGCAAGCGUUAUCCGGAAUUAUUGGGCGUAAAGCGCGCGCAGGUGGUUUCUUAAGUCUGAUGUGAAACCCACGGCUCAACCGUGGAGGGUCAUUGGAAACUGGGAGACUUGAGUGCAGAAGAAGAAAGUGGAAUUCCAUGUGUAGCGGUGAAAAGCGGAAAGAAAUGGAGGAACACCAGGGGCGAAGGCGACUUUCUGGUCUGUAAACUUGACACUGAGGGCCGGAAAACGGGGGGAGCCAACAGGAUUAGAUAACCCUGGAUAGUUCCACCCCUUAAACGAUUGAAUGCUAAAGUUUUUAGAAGGGUUUUCCCCCUUUUAUUUGCGGAAGUAAAACAAUUAAAGCAAUUCCCCCUUGGGGGGUAAGGGCCGCCAAGGCUUAAAAAUUAAAAGGAAAUUGGCCGGGGGGCCCCCACAAAGGGGGGGAAGCCAUUUGGUUUUAAUUUUGGAAGGCAAACGGGAAAAGAAACCUUUUCCCCAGGUUUUUGCAUUCUUUUUACCAACCUAAGGAUAAGGUUUUUCUUUCGGGGACAAAAGGACCAGUGGUCCUUGGUUUUGUUAACCCCGGGUCCUUAAAAGGUUGGUUAAUUCCCCCACGAAGGCACCCUUAUUUUAGUUGGCCACCAUUAAUUGGGCAAUUUUAGGGGGCCGCCGGUUACCAAACGGAAGAAGGGUGGGGAGAGUUCAAUUAUUCUUCCCCCUAUUACCUUGGGUACCCCACUUGUUCCAAUGGCGGUUCCAAAAAGUGCCAGGACCGGAAGGUGAAGUUAUUUUAUUAAACCGUUUUUAAUUUGGGAUGUUAGGUGCCAAUUGCCUUCCAGGAAGCGGGAAUCGUUGGUAUUGGGGAUUAACCAUCCGCGGGGAAAUAGGUUCCGGGCCUUGGUACACACCGCCGGUCCCACCAGAAAAUUUGGUACCCCCGAAAUCGGU